rnacentral:rRNA from 1 species
AUGAAGGGCCUCAUAGUUCGGCUGUGGCCCAAGGAGGCCAUGCCUGGGAGCUACUUCGGCCUGGUGCGGUGGCUGGUGGAUGCUUGUCCACGGGUUGAAGUCAUCAAGCACUCCGCCUGCAUUGAAGGUGCCCGUCGGGCCCUUGCCCGUGCUAAGGUGCACUGGGGCAAGAUGGACGCUGAGAAGCUUGUGACGGACGUGCCACCGCCGGGCAAGGAGUAUCGCACACUCGAGAUGUAUUAUAAGGGUGUCCUGAAGGGUGCCCGCAUUAUUGCGGGUGAGUGCUCCAAAGAUGUAAUAUUUGAGUAG